rnacentral:tRNA from 1 species
UCUUGGUGGCUCAGAUGGUAAAGCAUCUGCCUGCAAUGUGGAAGACCCAGGUUCCAUCCCUGGGUCAGGAA